ACGUCAGUUGUCUGCUGGAUCAGUCGGAGCGGAGCGGUGUGUGUGUGUGGGGUCUGUCAGUGUUGGGCUGUGACACGGGGACACACUAGCGCCUCAGGGAUCCCUAGCGACUCUUCUCUCACCCCUCGGGGUCCACGGACUAUUUGUAUUGCCCGGACUGUUCCCUCGGAUUCCCGCUGGAUUGUGCGGAGGAAUAAAGCCCCGUAUGGAGAAGUAUCUCCCGCAGCUCCUGGCUGAGAAGGACGCGCUGGAUCCGUCAUUUACUCACGCGCUCAGGAUGGUGAAGGAAGAGAUUGAAAAAUUACAGAAGGGAGAAGACAGCACAGAAGACCAGUACAUCGAUGUGGUGAUCAAUAAGAAUAUGAAGUUGGCACAAAAAGUCUUAAUUCCUAUUAAACAAUUCCCUAAGUUUAACUUUGUCGGCAAACUCCUGGGGCCCCGUGGGAAUUCCUUGAAACGACUGCAGGAAGAUACGCUGACGAAGAUGUCCAUUCUGGGCAAAGGGUCUAUGAGAGAUAAAGCAAAGGAGGAAGAGUUGAGGAAAAGCGGAGAAGCCAAAUACUAUCAUCUGAAUGACGACCUCCACGUCCUUAUUGAAGUGUUUGCUCCCCCAGCAGAGGCCUAUGCCAGGAUGGGACACGCACUGGAAGAAAUCAAGAAGUUUCUCAUUCCUGAUUAUAAUGAUGAAAUCAGACACGCACAACUGCAAGAACUCACCUAUUUAAAUGGUGGCCCCGAAACUACAGAAGCCCCAGCAGUUCGUGGAAAACCUUCGUUAAGGGCUCGGGGAGUACCAGUACCCGCGUUACCCAGGGGACGUGGUGGUGUCCCUCCAGCACCUACAGGAGUACCAAGAGGGGCACCUGCUCCCAGAGGUGUAACACCAGCGAGGGUAUCCUCUGCACGCGCCCGCGGACUGGUGGCCACAAGAGCAAGGGGCAUUCCACCACCAGCAGGGUAUCGGCCUCCACCUCCAGUUCAAGACACCUAUGGAGAAUAUGAUUAUGACGACGGCUAUGGCACGGCUUAUGACGAACAGAGUUACGACUCGUACGACAAUAACUAUAACUCACAAGGACAAAGUACAGCAGAUUACUAUGAUUAUGGACAUGGGCUUGGGGAAGAUUCCUAUGGGCAAGAAGAUUGGGCUAACUCGAGGCACAAAGCACCACCUGCAAGAGCAUGCAAAGGAACCUACAGAGAGCAGCCAUAUGCAAGAUACUGAUUGUACAGUCUGACGUUGUGAAUUAUCAAGUCUCCUCCAGCCCUGUAUACUGUUCAAAGGAGCAGGUAAUAAUCAUCCUGGGGAAUAGGACUGACGCUAAUGACAUAGGAAAUGUAGGGAUUAUUCAUUAAACACACAGAUGGUAUUGAAAAGAAUGAAGAACUCACCAAUGUGCCUACGACGCCAUCGACCACUAGAUCAAAAUGCACCUUGAAACGAUUCAUCAAUUUAUUAUGUUGUUUUUAACCUCAUCAGUCACCAACUUUAUGGACAGUUAAACAAUAACUCAAUAAAUACCAGUAUUUCAUCUUAUCUUAAUCAUUUCAAAGCAGUCCCUAACCAUCAUGCACUGAAUGCUCGCUUUCUUGCAGUUGGUAGUCAUUUAUUGAAUCUACUAGGAGUCAACUGUGAAGGCACCAUGCACCCAAUCUUCCUACCUCAAUAAAUUUCCACAGGUCUCUGCGUUCUGUCUUGGGGCACAGAGAUCUGAGGCCACCUCUGCAUGAAUGUGGGUGUCCCACCUGCCGUCCCCUACCCAUGCCCUACCAUUCCUGCACCAGCCAGCUAAACCCCAUGCAAAACUGCUCUCUGUUUGAUCACUGAAGAGUGUGUUCUUGUUGGCCCCUUAGUGUUCUUGCACUUCUGCCAGGGGUCUUCAUAAAUGACCCCUGCUGUGGAUGUUCAUUACUCACUUUUGUAGUCAGCUGGAAAAAUGUUCAAAAAGGAUCAUCGCUGCCAUAAUAGAGCAGCCGAGGGGUUAGGCCCAGGGUCUUCAUAAAUUAUCCCUACUGUAGCUGUUCAAUGUUCACUUUGUAGGCAGCUGGGAAAAUGUUUAAAAAUGACUAAGACCAGCAAAAUGGAGUAGCCCAUGGGUUAGGCCCGGGGUCUUCAUAAAUGAUCCCUAAUAUGGCUGUUCACAAUUUGCGGGCAGCUAGGAAAUGUUAAAAAAUGAGUACCCCAAGGACAAUUCUAGCUGACCCCACCACCACUUGAUCAUUAUAAAUCAACUAGUGAAAAGCCAGUAAAGACAGCCUGAAAUGCAGCACACAGGCUCAUGGUAGGGAAAAUGAGCCUGCCCAACUUGGUAUAUAGGAUUAUCAGCCAAGGAUAAGACUUUGAAGUGCAUGUAUACUUUCUGUAUAUAUCCAUGUGUGUUUCCUUAUUAAUACAGGGCUAGAGAUUGUGGUUUAUCAGUUAGUAAUAAUUAAUUAUAAUAUCUAGUGAUGUAUAUAAUACUAAUGCCUAUGUUACGGUUUGUAAUAUUCACAGAUUUAGAGUAAUUGAAAUAUCAAAAUAAAUCUUAAGGCACAGUAUUUGCAUUUCAUUGCCUUUCCCUUCCCUGUGUCCAACAGAAUAGCAAGGGUAGAGAGCGAUGACAAAUUGCUUGUGGAAAAUAGCACAUAAAAAAUCAAGGUCACUUAGUUCCUUAGUAAUUUGUUCACACAUGUCUGAAUUAUUACUUUCUACCGCCCUUAUUCUGUGUUUUUUUUUCUCUUUGAAGAGGGUUUAUUGUCCAUUAAAGUUAAGUAUUACAAAAAAGUGU